rnacentral:rRNA from 1 species
CUGGGGCGGUCUCCUCCUAAAGAGUAACGGAGGAGCACGAAGGUUGGCUAAUCCUGGUCGGACAUCAGGAGGUUAGUGCAAUGGCAUAAGCCAGCUUGACUGCGAGCGUGACGGCGCGAGCAGGUGCGAAAGCAGGUCAUAGUGAUCCGGUGGUUCUGAAUGGAAGGGCCAUCGCUCAACGGAUAAAAGGUACUCCGGGGAUAACAGGCUGAUACCGCCCAAGAGUUCAUAUCGACGGCGGUGUUUGGCACCUCGAUGUCGGCUCAUCACAUCCUGGGGCUGAAGUAGGUCCCAAGGGUAUGGCUGUUCGCCAUUUAAAGUGGUACGCGAGCUGGGUUUAGAACGUCGUGAGACAGUUCGGUCCCUAUCUGCCGUGGGCGCUGGAGAACUGAGGGGGGCUGCUCCUAGUACGAGAGGACCGGAGUGGACGCAUCACUGGUGUUCGGGUUGUCAUGCCAAUGGCACUGCCCGGUAGCUAAAUGCGGAAGAGAUAAGUGCUGAAAGCAUCUAAGCACGAAACUUGCCCCGAGAUGAGUUCUCCCUGACCCUUUAAGGGUCCUGAAGGAACGUUGAAGACGACGACGUUGAUAGGCCGGGUGUGUAAGCGCAGCGAUGCGUUGAGCUAACCGGUACUAAUGAACCGUGAGGCUUAACCUUACAACGCCGAAGGUGUUU